AAUGCCUAGGAAUCUGCCUGGUAGUGGGGGUAACGUUCGGAAACGGACGCUAAUACCGCAUACGUCCUACGGGAGAAAGCAGGGGACCUUCGGGCCUUGCGCUAUCAGAUGAGCCUAGGUCGGAUUAGCUAGUUGGUGGGGUAAUGGCUCACCAAGGCGACSAUCCGUAACUGGUCUGAGAGGAUGAUCAGUCACACUGGAACUGAGACACGGUCCAGACUCCUACGGGAGGCAGCAGUGGGGAAUAUUGCACAAUGGGCGAAAGCCUGAUCCAGCCAUGCCGCGUGUGUGAAGAAGGUCUUCGGAUUGUAAAGCACUUUAAGUUGGGAGGAAGGGCAGUAAAUUAAUACUUUGCUGUUUUGACGUUACCGACAGAAUAAGCACCGGCUAACUCUGUGC
rnacentral:rRNA from 1 species